CCAGACUCCUACGGGAGGCAGCAGUGGGGGAUAUUGCACAAUGGGGGGAACCCUGAUGCAGCGACGCCGCGUGAGUGAAGAAGUAUUUCGGUAUGUAAAGCUCUAUCAGCAGGGAAGAAAAUGACGGUACCUGAUUAAGAAGCCCCGGCUAACUACGUGCCAGCAGCCGCGGUAAUACGUAGGGGGCAAGCGUUAUCCGGAUUUACUGGGUGUAAAGGGAGCGUAGACGGCAGCACAAGUCUGGAGUGAAAUGCCGGGGCUUAACCCCCGAACUGCUUUGGAAACUGUGCAGCUAGAGUGCAGGAGAGGUAAGUGGAAUUCCUAGUGUAGCGGUGAAAUGCGUAGAUAUUAGGAGGAACACCAGUGGCGAAGGCGGCUUACUGGGCUGUAACUGACGUUGAGGGUCGAAAGCGUGGGGAGCAAACAGGAGUAGAUACCCCCGUAUGG
rnacentral:rRNA from 1 species